ACUGCUCAGUAACACGUGGACAACCUGCCCUUAGGUUGGGUAUAAACCCGGGAAACUGGGUAUAAUACCCGAUAGGUCUCGAUUGCUGGAAUGCAUCGAGAUUUAAAGCUCCGUCGCCUAAGGAUGGGUCUGCGGCCUAUCAGGUAGUAGUGGGUGUAGCGUACCUACUAGCCUACGACGGGUACGGGUUGUGAGAGCAAGAGCCCGGAGAUGGAUUCUGAGACACGAAUCCAGGCCCUACGGGGUGCAGCAGGCGCGAAAACUUUACAAUGCUGGCAACAGCGAUAAGGGAACCUCGAGUGCCAGGUUACAAAUCUGGCUGUCGAGAUGCCUAAAAAGCAUUUCAUAGCAAGGGCCGGGCAAGACCGGUGCCAGCCGCCGCGGUAACACCGGCGGCUCGAGUGGUAACCGUUAUUAUUGGGUCUAAAGGGUCUGUAGCCGGCCGGAUAAGUCUCUUGAGAAAUCUGGCAGCUUAACUGUCAGGCUUUCAGGAGAUACUGUCUGGCUCGAGGCCGGGAGAGGUGAGAGGUACUUCAGGGGUAGGGGUGAAAUCUUGUAAUCCUUGAAGGACCACCAGUGGCGAAGGCGUCUCACCAGAACGGACCUGACGGCAAGGGACGAAAGCUAGGGGCACGAACCGGAUUAGAUACCCGGGUAGUCCUAGCCGUAAACGAUACUCGCUAGGUGUCGGCCACGGUGCGACCGUUGUCGGUGCCGUAGGGAAGCCGUGAAGCGAGCCACCUGGGAAGUACGGCCGCAAGGCUGAAACUUAAAGGAAUUGGCGGGGGAGCAC
rnacentral:rRNA from 1 species